GCUAUGGGAGGCAGCAGUGGGGAAUAUUGCACAAUGGGGGAAACCCUGAUGCAGCGACGCCGCGUGAGUGAAGAAGUAAUUCGUUACGUAAAGCUCUAUCAGCAGGGAAGAAAUACUGACCUUACGGUCAGCAGACGGUACCUGAGUAAGAAGCCCCGGCUAACUACGUGCCAGCAGCCGCGGUAAUACGUAGGGGGCAAGCGUUAUCCGGAUUUAUUGGGUUUAAAGGGUGCGUAGGCGGAAUAUCAAGUCAGCGGUAAAAAUUCGGGGCUCAACCCCGUCGUGCCGUUGAAACUGAUGUUCUUGAGUGGGCGAGAAGUAUGCGGAAUGCGUGGUGUAGCGGUGAAAUGCAUAGAUAUCACGCAGAACUCCGAUUGCGAAGGCAGCAUACCGGCGCCCAACUGACGCUGAAGCACGAAAGCGUGGGUAUCGAACAGGAUUAGAUACCCUGGUAGUC
rnacentral:rRNA from 1 species